ACAGCAAUGCUACAAACAUCAGAUGGUCUUUUCAAAUUUGAUGCAUUGCUGUAGAUUUAACUACCCAACUGUAUAUAAAGGAGUUAAAAUUAGCACAAUGUUAAGCAUCUACAGCGGUAAAAUGCAACAUACACAUUAAUGUAACAGCCAUAGUUGUGAGACCUGUGGUAUUAAAUACCGUAAUAAUAGAUAUCUUUCCAGGCAAUGUAUCAAAGUUAAAAAUUCCUGUCUCAGUUCUGCAUUACUGGUCCCCUGCUCAUUUCUGCCUGUUCAGCCACCCAGCUCCUGGUUUUCUGCUCCUCGGUGUCAGUCAGGCCCAACUCAUCAAGGCAACUCAGUUCACCUGUUCCUGAUUACACACAGCCAGUACGUAUACACCAGCCUCACAGACACUGCCUCUGUGUGUCUGUUUGCUUGCUCUCCUUGGCUGUAUAACGUUCCCGACUGCUCUACAACAUUCACCUCGUUGUGCUAACCUGUGAUGCGGAGUUAUUUGCCAUGUGAUGAAACACACCGUCUUCGUGUAUAUGCCAUGGAGAUUACUCGCCGUCAUUGCCGGCUCCUUGAUUCCUCCCCCUGCCUGACCUACCUUCUUCCUCACUGAUGCUGGUGACUUGCCUGUCUUCUGCUUUGGCGUGGCCCGCAUUGGCUUUUUAUUAAUCCUGUGCCUCUGGAGACUCCAAGCUGGGGAUUUGGACUUUCCUGCUGUUUCACUUACCUGCUCUUUUGGUGUUCUGUUAAGAUGUGCAAUAAAGGCCAUUACAUAUUGUC